GAAGGCACGACAUUGCUCACAUUGCUUCCAGUAUUAUUUCAGCCAGCUUGGGUGCUGGCUUUUUUUU
rnacentral:antisense_RNA from 1 species